rnacentral:rRNA from 1 species
CCUACAGGAGGCAGCAGUGGGGAAUAUUGGACAAUGGGGGGAACCCUGAUCCAGCCAUGCCGCGUGUGUGAAGAAGGCCCUCGGGUUGUAAAGCACUUUCAGUGAGGAAGAACGCCUGGUGGUUAAUACCCAUCAGGAAAGACAUCACUCACAGAAGAAGCACCGGCUAACUCCGUGCCAGCAGCCGCGGUAAUACGGAGGGUGCGAGCGUUAAUCGGAAUUACUGGGCGUAAAGCGCGCGUAGGUGGCUUGAUAAGCCGGUUGUGAAAGCCCCGGGCUCAACCUGGGAACGGCAUCCGGAACUGUCAAGCUAGAGUGCAGGAGAGGAAGGUAGAAUUCCCGGUGUAGCGGUGAAAUGCGUAGAGAUCGGGAGGAAUACCAGUGGCGAAGGCGGCCUUCUGGACUGACACUGACACUGAGGUGCGAAAGCGUGGGUAGCAAACAGGAUUAGAUACCCCAGUAGUC